AUGGUCAGCUACAUGAUUUGGCACACGACAUGGGGGCUAAGUUCGGAUGACGACGACAGGUGCUGCAACCUACAGCAGCUACAAAAAAUGGAGCAGAUACACAAACUGGACAGGGGGGACAGUACAGCUGAACUUCAGACAUCAAAUUCACUUAGAGAACAAUACAGAACAGGAAAACGGGAAGGAAUCGACGCUUUGACUUGGAUACAGUUUUUAAGAGAGGUGGGAAGGAACCAACUUCAGACAUCAAAUGAGGCCACCUGCCACAAGCAUGGCGCCUCGAAGCGGAGCAAGUUGCAAGAUGCGGCGAAGUUUCACGGCCUGAGGCGGCGAAGUUGA
rnacentral:rRNA from 1 species